rnacentral:rRNA from 1 species
CUUUCCCCUAGUUUUAAGGCAACGCCUGCCCAGUGAAAAUUAAACGGCCGCGGUAUCCUAACCGUGCAAAGGUAGCAUAAUCAUUUGUCUAUUAAUUGUAGACCCGUAUGAAAGGCAAAAUGAGAGCCCAACUGUCUCUUAUAACAAAUCAAUUAAACUGAUCUCCUAGUACAAAAGCUAGAAUACUAACAUAAGACCAGAAGACCCUGUGAAGCUUUAACUAACCUAUUAAACCCAAUAAUAACUACUUUAGGUUGGGGCGACCUUGGAAUAAAAAAGAACUUCCAAUCUAUGACUCCCUCAUAAGCUAAGGCAAACAAGCCAACACGACCCAGCAUAGCUGACAAUUGAAACAAGUUACUCCAGGGAUAACAGCGCUAUCUUCUUUAAGAGCCCAUAUCAAAAAGAAGGUUUACGACCUCGAUGUUGGAUCAGGACACCCCAGCAAUGCAACCGUUACUAAAGGUUCGUUUGUUCAACGAUUAAUAGUCCUACGUGAUCUGAGUUCAGACCGGAGGUAUUAAGGUUUCGUUUGUUCAACGAUUAACAAACCUACGUGAUCUGUUCCCCAAACUAGGAACCCGACUUGAUCUGAG